UUGUUCUUUUCAUUGUGUCCUGAAUUUCUUGGAUUAGGAGCUUUUUGCAUUUUGAUAAACCAUCUAAACUCUCCCAUAACUCCUAGUAGAAGCAGUCAUUAAAAGUUUCCUAAGCAAAAAAAGCCCAGGGACAGAUGGUUUUAGUGCAGAAUUCUAGGUCAGACCUUCAAAGAAGACCUAAUUCCAAUUCUCUUCAAACUAUUUGACAAAAUAGAAACAGAAUGAUCACUACCUAAUUCCUUCUAUGAAGCCACAGUUAUGCUGAUACCUAAACCACAUAAAGACCCAACAAAGAAAGAGAACUUCAGAGCAAUUUCCCUUAUAAAUAUAAAUGCCAAAAUACUCAAUAAAAUUCUUUAAAACUGAAUUGCAGAACACGUCAAAACGAUCAUUCCUCAUGAUCAAGUAGGCUUCGUCUAAGGAAUGCAAAGAUGGUUUACUAUAUGGACAGCCAUCAACAUAAUAUGCUGUAAAAAAAAAACUCAAAGAAAUAAAACCACACAUGAUCAUCUCAUUAGAUGCUGAAAGAGCCUUUAGCAAAAUACAGCACCCCUCAUGGUAAAAGUCUUGGAGAGAUCAGGAAUUCAAGACACAUACUUAAACAUUAUAAAAGCAAUAUACUGAAAAUCAAUAGCCAACAUCAAAUUAAAUGGAGAGAAACUUGAAGCAAUACCACAAAAAAAAAUCAGGUAUGAGACAAAGCUGCCCACUCUCUCCCCAUGUGUUCAAUAUAGUACUUGAAGUUCUAGUCAGAUCAAUUAGACAACAAGAGGUCAAAGGGAUACAAACUGGGAAGGAGAAAGUCAAGAUAUCACCAUUUGUGGACAAUAAGACAGUAUACAUAAGUGACCCCAUAAAUUCUACCAGAGAACUCCUACAGCUGAUAAACAACUUAAAAAAUGGCUGGAUAUAAAAUUAACUCAAACAAAUCAGUAGCCUUCCUCUACACAAAAGAUUCUGGCAUCUGCAAUAGUUUUGAGGUUUGGUGACUGCUGAUAGGAUGGAUCUCAAGGUGGGGUGGCCUCUGGAUGGCAGUAUCUGAUGCAUUUUUUGUUCCUGCAUUUCCUUUAGACAGGAACAAUUCUGGGUUAAACAUUUUGAGAUGGGUGGGUCGUCCAAUCCCUCAAAUUGAGGUCAUGGCUAUCUACUGGAGGUGGUCUCUAUAGGUUCUAUCUCCUUUUGAUUGGUUAUUUUGGUUAAUGUCUUCCCCAUUGGAUCCUGGGAACCUCUUGCUUCCCUGGUGUCUGGGGCUUUCUGGUGGCUCCCUUCUUCCUCAUCCCCCUGCUACAUAUUUCUAUUUAUUUUCCUGACCCUCUGGACUUUUCUCCUGCCACUUCUCAUAUCUGAUCCUGACUCCCUUCCUCCUCCCCCUUCUAUAUGCCCCAUGAACCUUCCUCUCUCUACUUCCACUGAUUAUUUUAUCCUCCCUUCUAAGUAGGAUUAAAGCAUACAUACUUUGGUCUUCCUUCUUGUUAAGUUUCAUGUGGUCCGUGAGUUGUAUCGUGGUUAUUCUGAGCUUUGGGGCUAAUAUCCACUUAUCAGUGUGUGUAAAUGUACCACAUUUUCUGUAUCCAUUCUUCAGUUGAGGAAAGUUUGGGUUGUUUCCAGUUUCUGGCUAUUAUAAAUAACUCUGCUAUGAACAUAGUGGAACAUGUGUACUUGCUAUAUGUCGGAGUAUCUUUUGGGUAUAUGCCCAGUAGCAGUAUAGCUGUGUCUUCAGGUAAAACAACACUCAGGCAUCAUGCCCAAAUAAUAAUAGGCCAGGAAAACACAGAUAAAUGUUGAUAUCUCUAAGUGUCUAUUUAAAUGCCUACAUCAUGAGAAGUAUUUGUUGAAAAGCAACUACUACUUUGUGUUUCACUGGCCUUUAAACACAGCAGUGAGAAACCCAAAACUAAUUUCAAUUGAACUUGAAUGCUGCCUUAAUAAUCAAAUAAAUACCUUCAUGUUUAAUGCUUAAGCAGAAUUUCAUUAAAAUUUCUUUGACAUCAAGCCAAAUUUUGAAAUGAUUUGGAACUGGCUUGCAUUUCUUAAAUUGGUCUUUCGUUGGAAAUAAUGAAAAAGUGUUAGAGUCUUGGCAGAAUUCCAAUGACUGUAACUCAACUUGUUAAAGAAAAAUUUAAUAUUUACAUAUUAUAUAGUAUAAUAUUUAUAUGAGGCAACAGAUUGAGAGUGUAGAAUUCAAAAUAGAAUAGAUUUUUUUACUUAGAAUUACACUCAGAAAUUUGAGGGUUAUUUAAUACUAAUACUGGAGCAUCUGAGCAAUGGAUUUUGAAGUAUGAACACAGCUCAGUAUAUUAUUUUUUUGUAUUCCCUUGAGUUUUAGAUUUCAUGGUGGCACACUUAUUUUUUAUUGGCUUAUCACUGAUUAUGCCAUAAGUCACCUACUCAAGGAAAGCUGGCUUGUGCUCUACUCCAUCAACUUAGUUGGAUGAUAGUGAAGUCACUGGGGUUCCCAGGGGCCUUCCCUGCAAAAUUCUGGAGCUAGUUUGCCAUAGAGAUAGAAGGUAUGGGACAUUGCAAAUCUAUGACUCUAAUAAAGAAAUAUCAGUAUGUUAGACUCGCAUAGGUAAAAUAUCUGGUACAAGAGCCAUCUCUUAAUUUUUUACAUGUAUUUAUUGUGUAUAUGAGUAUAUGCACAUGUGCACACAUGUAUUUCUAUGUAUAUGUGGAGGUUGGAGCUCAACUUAUCAUAGUCACAUUUCCUCUUUCACCAUGUGGGUUCUGGGGAUAGAAAUAAAAUAAUCUGGUUUGGCAGCAAGUGCCUUUACCCACUGAGCUAUCUCUCUGAUAACAACAGCAUCGUAUGUGUUUGAAGAAACUGGGUUUGAAAGGUUAAAUGAGUUAUUCAAGGUCACUGAGGAUCAGUGAUGGUAACUCUAAGUCCACAAAACUAGAAAAUUGGUGGAUCUGAAAAUCACCAUAUUAAGGUUUAAACAUUAGCCAGACUCAUAAAGACAUUUAUCAUGUUUUCUCUCAUAUAUGAACUCUUUAAAUAAAAGAACAUAAAAGUUGAAAAGGAAAUAGGAGGGGAAUGGAUAUUUAAGCAGACUGGAUAUGUUUAACUAUUUGGAGGGAGAUUGGGAGGAGGGUGGUCAAAGGAUCUCAGAUGUAGACAUAAAAUAUCACAAUGUAUCAUUCUUUUGUAGAAAUAAUAUAGAAUUAAAAUAGCAAAUCAAAGAUGUUCUUCAAAAAAGUGAUAUAUCCUUAAUAUAUCAUUACAAUGUU
rnacentral:lncRNA from 1 species